rnacentral:rRNA from 1 species
UGAACGCUGGCGGUCUGCUUAACACAUGCAAGUCGAACGGGUGUAGCAAUACAUUAGUGGCGGACGGGUGAGUAACGCGUGAGAAUCUACCUUCAGGACGGAGACAACAGUUGGAAACGACUGCUAACCCCCGAUGUACCGAAAGGGCAAAUAUUUAUAGCCUGAAGAAGAGCUCGCGUCCGAUUAGCUAGUUGGAGAGGUAAAAGCUCACCAAGGCGACGAUCGGUAGCUGGUCUGAGAGGACGAUCAGCCACACUGGGACUGAGACACGGCCCAGACUCCUACGGGGGGCAGCAGUGGGGAAUUUUCCGCAAUUGGCGCAAGCCUGACGGAGCAAGACCGCGUGGGGGAAGAAGGCUCUUGGGUUGUAAACUCCUUUUCUCUGGGAAGAACAAAAUGACGGUACCAGAGGAAUCAGCAUCGGCUAACUCCGUGCCAGCAGCCGCGGUAAGACGGAGGAUGCAAGCGUUAUCCGGAAUGAUUGGGCGUAAAGCGUCCGCAGGUGGCAGUUCAAGUCUGCUGUCAAAGACCGGGGCUUAACCUCGGAAAGGCAGUGGAAACUGAACAGCUAGAGUAUGGUAGGGGCAAAGGGAAUUCCUGGUGUAGCGGUGAAAUGCGUAGAGAUCAGGAAGAACAUCGGUGGCGAAGGCGCUUUGCUGGACCAUAACUGACACUCAGGGACGAAAGCUAGGGGAGCGAAUGGGAUUAGAUACCCCAGUAGUCCUAGCCGUAAACGAUGGAUACUAGGUGUUGUUUGUAUCGACCCGGACAGUGCCGUAGCUAACGCGUUAAGUAUCCCGCCUGGGGAGUACGCACGCAAGUGUGAAACUCAAAGGAAUUGACGGGGGCCCGCACAAGCGGUGGAGUAUGUGGUUUAAUUCGAUGCAACGCGAAGAACCUUACCAGGACUUGACAUGUCGCGAAUCCUCCUGAAAGGGAGGAGUGCCUUCGGGAGCGCGAACACAGGUGGUGCAUGGCUGUCGUCAGUUCGUGUCGUGAGAUGUUGGGUUAAGUCCCGCAACGAGCGCAACCCUCGUGUUUAGUUGCCAUCAUUCAGUUGGGCACUCUAAACAGACUGCCGGUGACAAACCGGAGGAAGGUGGGGAUGACGUCAAGUCAGCAUGCCCCUUACGUCCUGGGCUACACACGUACUACAAUGGUAGGGACAGAGGGCAGCGAAGCCGCGAGGUGAAGCGAAUCCCAUAAAACCGGUCUCAGUUCGGAUUGCAGGCUGAAACUCGCCUGCAUGAAGUCGGAAUCGCUAGUAAACGCAGAUCAGCAUGCUGCGUUGAAUACGUUCCCGGGCCUUGUACACACCGCCCGUCACACCACGAAAGUUUGUUCAACCCGAAGUCGGUGAGCUAACCGUAAGGAAGCAGCCGCCUAAGGUGGGGCAGAUGAUUGGGGUGAAGUCGUAACAAGGUA